CACGAGUGUGUUGUAGCGGUUACGCCGAGGGACGGCGACGCUCAACCCAGGAACGGGCGCCUAAAUGCGAAGCUGUUAGCCUCUCGUUGGUCAGUAUUGGUCGUAUUUGCGGCCAUGAGCAAAAAAUGUGGGAAUGUCGGCCGAUCCCGGACGUAGUACGAUACCAGAGCGACCAGCGGUGGAGGUCACGGAAGCUUGAAGCACCCGGCAAAGUGAAGCAAAAUGUUGUUUGUCAUCCCACAGGAAUACGACCUCUUCCUCUCUACAUGUGCCAUGUUAUUUUCAUCACUGCACAAUGUUUGGAAACACCAUUGAUAAUAAAGUAUCAC